GCAGCAGUAGCUCAGUCGUUAAGACGUUGGACUACUGAUCAAGAGGUCAUGAGUUCAAUCCCCCGCCACUGCU